AGAUACAUAUGCACGUGCCGGAAGAAGAAAAUAAGCAGCAAAAUUCCAUCUUACUUUGCCACCAAUGCAGCUGAUGACGAAUGACAGAAAGGAAUACUAUGCUGUGAGUGCCAUGUAUUUGGCCCUCAUUGCCAACCGAUUGCCUCGCGUCAUGGCUAUUUCCACGGUCGUCACAGCCAUCGCCCUGCAAUUGCUGUUUGCUGACAUCGUCGACAGUGUACUGCGCUCUUUCCUGUCUCCCUUGUUUUCCUUCAAGUUUCUGCAGCGAUUCAAUUUUUCAUGUGUACCCCUCUUGGACGUACCCUGACCUGGCGAGCUUGUUCACUCAAGUUGAACUACAUUGGCAAAGUCUCGAGCAAAGACUGGCAACUUCAACAUGCUGCUCAGUUUGCAUUUGUGACCUACACUGGGCAUGUGAACUGAUGUGCCGGUAUGGUUGUUAGUUGCUUCUCUGAUGCUGAUGCAGGUUGGUGUCAAUUUGUCAUUCUGCUCUAAUGAUUGCAUUUCCUGUGCCUGCUGCUGUUGCUGUGCCCACAAGUAUGAUUGUAUGUGUAUCCGUAGUUGACAUAUAUGGCGUUAUAUUUUUGUGAGAAAUAGGUUACUCGGUGAUAAUACUCGUUCUGGAUACCUUCUAAAGAUGAACUUCCUUUCAAACGAUUUCCGCAAACAAGUGAGAGUACUUUGGUACUUUUCCAAAGAUGCGCAUAACCACUCGCUAUAAAGUAUUAUCUUGGAAGCUGCAUUCACUGCAAAUCCAAAAAUGUUGAAAUGCCAAAAUUGGUGGCACACACAAUGCAAGAAAUGCAUAAAUGAAAAAUACUAGACAGUUAUGCAGAGCAAUGCAUAAAAAUCUAAAGAUAACCUGAGCUCACCUCUAGAUAGAAAUUAAUAAAAUCUGGACUGAAUGAACAAGAAUAGUUGUGUCAAGGCAGUUUAAUCAUCCAAUGAACAAAAGGACAACUUGGUAAUGAACAGAACAGAAAAUAGUUGCAUGCCUUGUGUAUUCGUUUCGUGAUCAAUAUUUCUCACUUGGUUGUAGCUGGGAGGUCACUGUUCUGCGUGAUUUACACUGAGCAGUUGCUCCACUGAUCGCGUUUUGCUUUUUCUGACCGGGUGUCAGGUACCUUAACUUUCAAAUGCGUAUUUUUCUAUGUAAUCAAUCAGCCACAUUUAAUGAGCCGCUUUUCACUGAAUGCGUCUCAGGCAGUAAUCAUGAAGUUCAGUUGCUUUCUAACUGAUAAGCCUCUUUUGAUGUGCAACAUGUUUUGCUACACAGACAUCGGCAGGUUUUUCUGUUUUAGUAAAAACAAGUUCUUGUUUUGAACCUUUUAAGCUCCGGCAAAACAAACUGUACCUAAGUGGGAUGUGCCAGGUUUUCAAUGCUGCUAUAUUGUCUCUGUUCAUGAAAGCGUGACAUAGACAGUCAACAGCAGUGGCAAUCAUCAUUGUAUACAAUGUAUGCAUCACUGUUGAAAAAUUACCGACAAGACAAUAGUUGUCUAUGAUAUCCAUGUCCACUUAUGUAUUUAAGACAUAGCAGUUUCGCCAGUGUCUUCUUCCUUGCCUAUUCAUUUCCCCACUGAUAUUCUAAAUACUAUACGUAAAAGCUUUUUUUCGCCAAACUUAUGUUAAAAUUGUAUAAACAGUUUGUGUUUUCAUUUUGCACCUGUAUUUGUUUUUUACGAUCCAGAAGUUCACAUAGUAUGAAAAAAACUUGCAAAGGGCCUCGUUCAUAUUUAUUAUUGAAUGCUAUAUUGUGUUUUGUAACACUCCCAUUCAUGUCUUGCUCUGUGAAAACGACAAAUAAAUAAAAAGUGAGUAAUCUUCGUAAA